GGGAUCCUCCAUAUGCUGAACGCUGGUUCCCCGGGUCCCCUUAUUUCUUUCUCUAUACUUUGUCUCUGUGUCUUUUUCUUUUCCAAGUCUCUCGUUCCACCUUACGAGAAACACCCACAGGUGUGGAGGGGCAACCCACCCCUUCAUCUGGUGCCCAACGUGGAGGCUUUUCUCUAGGGUGAAGGUACUCUCAAGCGUGGUCAUUGAGGACAAGUCGACGAGAGAUCCCGAGUACGUCUACAGUCAGCCUUACGGUAAGCUUGUGGGCUCAGAAGAAGCUAGGGUGAUAAUGGGGCAAACUAAAGUAAAACUAAAAGUAAAUAUGCCUCUUUUCUCAGCUUUAUUAAAAUUCUUUUAAAAAGAGGGGGAGUUAAAGUAUCUACAAAAAAUCUAAUCAAGCUAUUUCAAACAAUAGAACAAUUUUGCCCAUGGUUUCCAGAACAAGGAACUUUAGAUCUAAAAGAUUGGAAAAGAAUUGUUAAGGAACUAAAACAAGCAAGUAGGAAGGGUAAUAUCAUUCCACUUACAGUAUGGAAUGAUUGGGCCAUUAUUAAAGCAGCUUUAGAACCAUUUCAAACAGAAGAAGAUAGCGUUUCAGUUUCUGAUGCCCCUGGAAGCUGUUUAAUAGAUUGUAAUGAAAAGACAAGGAAAAAAAUCCCAGAAAGAAACGGAAGGUUUACAUUGCGAAUAUGUAGCAGAGCCGGUAAUGGCUCAGUCAAUGCAAAAUGUUGACUAUAAUCAAUUACAGGAGGUGAUAUAUCCUGAAACGUUAAAAUUAGAAGGAAAAGGUCCCGAAUUAGUGGGGCCAUCAGAGUCUAAACCACGAGGGCCAAGUCCUCUUCCAGCAGGUCAGGUGCCCGUAACAUUACAACCUCAAACGCAGGUUAGAGAAAAUAAGAGCCAACCACCAGUAGCUUAUCAAUACUGGCCGCUGGCUGAACUUCAGUAUCAGCCACCCCCAGAAAGUCAGUAUGGAUAUCCAGGAAUGCCCCCAGCACCACAGGGCAGGGCGCCAUACCCUCAGCCGCCCACUAGGAGACUUAAUCCUACGGCACCGCCUAGUAGACAGGGUAGUGAAUUACAUGAAAUUAUUGAGAAGAAAGGAAGGAGAUACUGAGGCGUGGCAAUUCCCAGUAACGUUAGAACCGAUGCCACCUGGAGAAGAAGCCCAAGAGGGAGAGCCUCUCACAGUUGAGGCCAGAUACAAGUCUUUUUUGAUAAAAAUGCUAAAAGAUAUGAAAGAGGGAGUAAAACAGUAUGGACCCAACUCCCCUUAUAUGAGUACAUUAUUAGAUUCCAUUGCUCAUGGACAUAGACUCAUUCCUUAUGAUUGGGAGAUUCUGGCAAGAUCAUCUCUCUCACCCUCUCAAUUUUUACAAUUUAAGACUUGGUGGAUUGAUGGGGUACAAGAACAGGUCCGAAGAAAUAGGGCUGCCAAUCCUCCAGUUAACAUAGAUGCAGAUCAACUAUUAGGAAGAGGUCAAAAUUGGAGUACUAUUAGUCAACAAGCAUUCAUGCAAAAUGAGGCCAUUGAGCAAGUUAGAGCUAUCUGCCUUAGAGCCUGGGAAAAAAUCCAAGACCCAGGAAGCGCCUGCCCCUCAUUUAAUACAGUAAGACAAGGUUCAAAAGAGCCCUACCCUGAUUUUGUGGCAAGGCUCCAAGAUGUUGCUCAAAAGUCAAUUGCCGACGAAAAAGCCCAUAAGGUCAUAGUGGAGUUGAUGGCAUAUGAAAACGCCAAUCCUGAGUGUCAAUCAGCCAUUAAGCCAUUAAAAGGAAAGGUUCCCACAGGGUCAGAUGUAAUCUCAGAGUAUGUAAAAGCCUGUGAUGGAAUCGGAGGAGAUAUGCAUAAAGCUAUGCUUAUGGCUCAAGCAAUAACAGGAGUUGUUUUAGGAGGACAAGUUAAAACAUUUGGAGGAAAAUGUUAUAAUUGUGGUCAAAUUGGUCAUUUAAAAAAGAAUUGGCCAGUCUUAAAUAAACAGAAUAUAACUAUUCAAGCAACUACAACAGGUAGAGAGCCACCUGACUUAUGUCCAAAAUGUAAAAAAGGAAAACAUGGGGCUAGUCAGUGUCAUUCUAAAUUUGAUAAAAACAGGCAACCAUUGUCGGGAAAUGAACAAACGGGCCAGCCUCAGGCCCCACAACAAACUGGGGCAUUCCCAAUUCAGCCAUUUGUUCCUCAGGGUUUUCAGGGACAAAAACCCCCACUGUCCCAAGUGUUUCAGGGAAUAAGCCAGUUACCACAAUACAACAAUUGUCCCCCGCCACAAGCGGCAGUGCAGCAGUAGAUUUAUGUACUAUACAAGCAGUCUCUCUGCUUCCAGGGAAGCCCCCACAAAAAAUCCCCACAGGGGUAUAUGGCCCACUGCCUGAGGGGACUGUAGGACUAAUCUUGGGAAGAUCAAGUCUAAAUCUAAAAGGAGUUCAAAUUCAUACUGGUGUGGUUGAUUCAGACUAUAAAGGCGAAAUUCAAUUGGUUAUUAGCUCUUCAAUUCCUUGGAGUGCCAGUCCAGGAGACAGGAUUGCUCGAUUAUUACUCCUGCCAUAUAUUAAGGUUGGAAAUAGUGAAAUAAAAAGAACAGGAGGGUUUGGAAGCACUGAUCUGACAGGAAAGGCUGCAUAUUGGGCAAGUCAGGUCUCAAAGAACAGACCUGUGUGUAAGGCCAUUAUUCAAGGAAAACAGUUUGAAGGGUUGGUAGACACUGGAGCAGAUGUCUCUAUCAUUGCUUUAAAUCAGUGGCCAAAAAAUUGGCCUAAACAAAAGGCUGUUACAGGAUUUGUCGGCAUAGGCACAGCCUCAGAAGUGUAUCAAAGUACUGAGAUUUUACAUUGCUUAGGGCCAGAUAAUCAAGAAAGUACUGUUCAGCCCAUGAUUACUUCAAUUCCUCUUAAUCUGUGGGGUCGAGAUUUAUUACAACAAUGGGGUGUGGAAAUCACCAUGCCCUCUCCAUUAUAUAGCCCCAGGAGUCAAAAAAUCAUGACCAAGAUGGGAUAUAUACCAGGAAAGGGACUAGGGAAAAAUGAAGAUGGCAUUAAAGUUCCAGUUGAGGCUAAAAUAAAUCAAGAAAGAGAAGGAAUAGGGUAUCCUUGUUAGGGGCGGCCACUGUAGAGCCUCCUAAACACAUACCAUUAACUUGGAAAACAGAAAAACCGGUGUGGGUAAAUCAGUGGCCGCUACCAAAACAAAAACUGGAGGCUUUACAUUUAUUAGCAAAUGAACAGUUAGAAAAGGGACAUAUUGAGCCUUCAUUCUCGUCUUGGAAUUCUCCUGUGUUUGUAAUUCAGAAGAAAUCCGGCAAAUGGCAUAUGUUAACUGACUUGAGGGCCGUAAACGCUGUAAUUCAACCCAUGGGGCCUCUCCAACCUGGGUCACCCUCUCUGGCCAUGAUCCCAAAAGAUUGGCCUUUAAUUAUAAUUGAUCAAAAGGAUUGCUUUUUUACCAUCCCUCUGGUGGAGCAGGAUUGCGAAAAAUUUGCCUUUACUAUACCAGCCAUAAAUAAUAAAGAACCAGCCACCAGGUUUCAGUGGAAAGUGUUACUUCAGGGAAUGCUUAAUAGUCCAACUAUUUGUCAGACUUUUGUAGGUCAAGCUCUUCAACCAGUUAGAGACAAGUUUUCAGACGGCUAUAUUAUUCAUUAUUUUGAUGAUAUUUUAUGUGCUGCAGAAACGAGAGAUAAAUUAAUUGACUGUUAUACAUUUCUGCAAGCCGAGGUUGCCAAUGCAGGACUGGCAAUAGCAUCUGAUAAGAUCCAAACCUCUACUCCUUUUCAUUAUUUAGGGAUGCAGAUAGAAAAAUUAAGCCACAAAAAAUAGAAAUAAGAAAGACACAUUAAAAACACUAAAUGAUUUUCAAAAAUUGCUGGGAGAUAUUAAUUGGAUUCGGCCAACUCUAGGCAUUCCUACUUAUGCCAUGUCAAAUUUGUUCUCUAUCUUAAGAGGAGACUCAGACUUAAAUAGUAAAAGAAUGUUAACCCCAGAGGCAACAAAAGAAAUUAAAUUAGUGGAAGAAAAAAUUCAGUCAGCGCAAAUAAAUAGAAUAGAUCCCUUAGCCCCAUUCCAACUUUUGAUUUUUGCCACUGCACAUUCUCCAACAGGCAUCAUUGUUCAAAAUACUGAUCUUGUGGAGUGGUCAUUCCUUCCUCACGGUACAGUUAAGACUUUUACAUUGUACUUGGAUCAAAUAGCUACAUUAAUUGGUCAGACAAGAUUAUGAAUAAUAAAAUUAUGUGGAAAUGACCCAGACAAAAUAGUUGUCCCUUUAACAAAGGAACAAGUUAGACAAGCCUUUAUCAAUUCUGGUGCAUGGCAGAUUGGUCUUGCUAAUUUUGUGGGAAUUAUUGACAAUCGUUACCCAAAAACAAAAAUCUUCCAGUUCUUAAAAUUGACUACUUGGAUUCUACCUAAAAUUAGCAGACGUGAACCUUUAGAAAAUGCUCUAACAGUAUUUACUGAUGGUUCCAGCAAUGGAAAAGUGGCUUACACAGGGCCGAAAGAACGAGUAAUCAAAACUCCAUAUCAAUCGGCUCAAAGAGCAGAGUUGGUUGCAGUCAUUACAGUGUUACAAGAUUUUGACCAACCUAUCUAUAUUAUAUCAGAUUCUGCAUAUGUAGUACAGGCUACAAGGGAUGUUGAGACAGCUCUAAUUAAAUAUAGCAUGGAUGAUCAGUUAAACCAGCUAUUCAAUUUAUUACAACAAACUGUAAGAAAAAGAAAUUUCCCAUUUUAUAUUACUCAUAUUCAAGCACACACUAAUUUACCAGGGCCUUUGACUAAAGCAAAUGAACAAGCUGACUUACUGGUAUCAUCUGCAUUCAUAAAAGCACAAGAACUUCAUGCUUUGACUCAUGCAAAUGCAGCAGGAUUAAAAAACAAAUUUGAUGUCACAUGGAAACAGGCAAAAGAUAUUGUACAACAUUGCACCCAGUGUCAGGUCUUACACCUGCCCACUCAAGAGGCAGGAGUUAAUCCCAGAGGUCUGUGUCCUAAUGCGUUAUGGCAAAUGGAUGUCACGCAUGUUCCUUCAUUUGGAAGAUUAUCAUAUGUUCAUGUAACAGUUGAUACUUUUCACAUUUCAUAUGGGCAGCUUGCCAAACAGGAGAAAGUACUUCCCAUGUUAAAAAACAUUUAUUGUCUUGUUUUGCUGUCAUGGGAGUUCCAGAAAAAAUCAAAACUGACAAUGGACCAGGAUAUUGUAGUAAAGCUUUCCAAAAAUUCUUAAGUCAGUGGAAAAUUUCACAUACAACAGGAAUUCCUUAUAAUUCCCAAGGACAGGCCAUAGUUGAAAGAACUAAUAGAACACUCAAAACUCAAUUAGUUAAACAAAAAGAAGGGGGAGACAGUAAGGAGUGUACCACUCCUCAGAUGCAACUUAAUCUAGCACUCUAUACUUUAAAUUUUUUUAAACAUUUAUAGAAAUCAGACUACUACUUCUGCAGAACAACAUCUUACUGGUAAAAAGAACAGCCCACAUGAAGGAAAACUAAUUUGGUGGAAAGAUAAUAAAAAUAAGACAUGGGAAAUAGGGAAGGUGAUAACGUGGGGGAGAGGUUUGCUUGUGUUUCACCAGGAGAAAAUCAGCUUCCUGUUUGGAUACCCACUAGACAUUUGAAGUUCUACAAUGAACCCAUCGGAGAUGCAAAGAAAAGGGCCUCCACAGAGAUGUCUGCAGGUGUACCCAACAGCUCCGAAGAGACAGCGACCAUCGAGAAUGGGCCAUGAUGACGAUGGCGGUUUUGUCGAAAAGAAAAGGGGGAAAUGUGGGGAAAAGCAAGAGAGAUCAGAUUGUUACUGUGUCUGUAUAGAAAGAAGUAGACAUAGGAGACUCCAUUUUGUUCUGUACUAAGAAAAAUUCUUCUGCCUUGAGAUGCUGUUAAUCUAUGACCUUACCCCCAACCCCGUGCUCUCUGAAACAUGUGCUGUGUCAAACUCAGGGUUAAAUGGAUUAAGGGUUGUGCAAGAUGUGCUUUGUUAAACAAAUGCUUGAAGGCAGCAUGCUCUUUAAGAGUCAUCACCACUCCCUAAUCUCAAGUACCCAGGGACACAAACACUGCGGAAGGCCGCAGGGACCUCUGCCUAGGAAAGCCAGGUAUUGUCCAAGGUUUCUCCCCAUGUGAUAGUCUGAAAUAUGGCCUCGUGGGAAGGGAAAGACCUGACCGUCCCCCAGCCCGACACCCAUAAAGGGUCUGUGUGAGGAGGAUUAGUAUAAGAGGAAGGCAUGCCUCUUGCAGUUGAGACAAGAGGAAGGCGUCUGUCUCCUGCCCGUCCCUGGACAAUGGAAUGUCUCGGUAUAAAACCCGAUUGUACGUUCCAUCUACUGAGAUAGGGAAAAACGCCUUAGGGCUGGAGGUGGGACAUGCGGGCAGCAAUACUGCUUUGUAAAGCAUUGAGAUGUUUAUGUGUAUGCAUAUCUAAGAGCACAGCACUUAAUCCUUUACCUCGUCUAUGAUGCAAAGACCUUUGUUCACGUGUUUGUCUGCUGACCCUCUCCCCACUAUUGUCUUGUGACCCUGACACAUCCCCCUCUCGGAGAAACACCCACGAAUGAUCAAUAAAUACUAAGGGAACUCAGAGGCUGGCGGGAUCCUCCAUAUGCUGAACGCUGGUUCCCCGGGUCCCCUUAUUUCUUUCUCUAUACUUUGUCUCUGUGUCUUUUUCUUUUCCAAGUCUCUCGUUCCACCUUACGAGAAACACCCACAGGUGUGGAGGGGCAACCCACCCCUUCAAGCCUCUGCUCCUCCACCCUAUAAUUCUUUUAUCACCUCCCCUCCACACACCCGUCCGGCUUACAGUUUCAUUCCGUGACUAGCCCUCCCCCACCUGCCCAGCAAUUUACUCUUAAAAAGGUGGCUGGAGCUAAAGGCAUAGUCAAGGUUAAUGCUCCUUUUUCUUUAUCCCAAAUCAGAUAGCGUUUAGGCUCUUUUUCAUCAAAUAUAAAAAACCCAGCCCAGUUCAUGGCUCGUUCGGCAGCAACCCUGAGAUGCUUUACAGCCCUAGACCUAAAAGGUCAAAAGGCUGUAUUAUUCUCAAUAUACAUUUUAUUACUCAAUCUGCUCCCGACAUUAAAUAAAACUCCAAAAAUUAAAUUCCAGCCCUCAAACCCCACAACAGGAUUUAAUUAACCUCACCUUCAAGGUGUACAAUAAUAGAAAAAAGUCGCAAUUCCUUGCCUUUACUGUGAGACAAACCCCAGCCACAUCUCCAGCCCACAAGAACUUCCAAACGCCUAAACCGCAGUGGCCAGGCGUUCCUCCAGAACCUCCUCCCCCAGGAACUUGCUACAAGUGCCAGAAAUCUGACCACCAGGCCGAGGAAUGCCUGCAGCCCAGGAUUCCUCCUAAGCCGUGUCCCAUCUGCGCGGGACCCCACUGGAAAUCGGACUGUUCAACUCACCUGGCAGCCACUCCCAGAACCCCUGGAAUUCUGGCCCAAGGCUCUCUGACUGACUCCUUCUCGGCUUAGCAGCUGAAGACUGAUGCUGCCUGAUCGCCUUGGAAGCCCCGUAGACCAUCGCGGAUGCCGAGCUUUAAGUAAUCUCACAGUGGAGGGAUAUGGUGGUAUGGACCUGUUGCCCCAGCUACUCAGGAGGCCGAGAUGAAACAAUCACCUGACCCCAGGAAGUCGGGGCUGCAGUGAACUAGGAUCAUGCCACUGCACUCUAGCCUGGGCAACAAGGUGAGACACCAUCUCUAAAAAUAAUAAUAAAAAAAUAAAGUCUGGUCAGGUGCUGUGGCUCACGCCUAUAAUCCCAGCACUUUGGGAGGCCGAGACAGGUGGAUCACGUGAGGCCAGGAGUUUGAGACCAACCUAGCCAACACGGGGAAACCCUGCCUCUACCAAAAAAUACAAAAAAAUUAGCCUGGUGUGGUGGUGUGCAUCUGUAGUCCCAGCUACUCGGGAGGCUGAGGCGGAAGAAUUGCUUGAACUGGGAGGUGGAGGUUGCAGUGAGCCGAGAUCACACCACUGCACUCUAGCCUGGACGACAGAGUGAGAUCCUGUCUCAAAAAUAAAGUCGGGGGGCUGGGUUCAGUGGUUCAUACCUGUAAUCCCAGCAUUUUGGGAGGCUGAGGUGGGCAGAUCACUUGAGGUCAGGAGUUUGAGAGAGACUGGCCAACAACAGUGAAACCCCAUCUCUACUAAAAAAGUACAAAAGGCCGGGUGCCAUGGCUCACGCCUGUAAUCCCAGCACUUUGGGAGGCUGAGGCAGGUGGAUCACGAGGUCAGGAGUUCAAGACCAGCCUGACCAACAUGGAGAAACCCCGUCUCUACUAAAAAUACAAAAUUAGCCGGGUAUGGUGGCACAUGCCUGUAAUCCCAGCUACUCGGGAGGCUGAGGCAGGAGGAUCGCUUGAACCAAGGAGGCGGAGGUUGCAAUGAGCCAAGAUAGUGCCAUUACACUACCAGCUUGGGCAACAAGAGUGAAACUCCGUCUCAAAAAAAAAAAAGUACAAAAAUUAGCCAGGCUUGGUGGUGUGCCCCUGCAGUCCCAGCUACUCGGGAGGCUGAGAGGUGAGAAUCUCUUGAACCCAGGAGGCAGUGCUGCCAUUGCACUCCAGCCUGAGCGACAUAGCAAGACUCUGUCUCCAAAAAAUCAAUAAAUAAUAAAAAAUAAAGUCCAGGUGGGGCACGGUGGUUCAUGCCUGUUAUCCCAUCACUUUGGGAGGCCGAGGUGGGCGGAUCACCUGAGGUCAGGAGUUCAAGACCAGCCUGACCAACAUGGAGAAACCUCAUCUCUACUAAAAAUACAAAAUUAGCCGGGCAUGGUGGCACAUGCCUCUAAUUUCAGCUACUCGGGAGGCUGAGGCAGGAGAAUCCCUCGAACCUGGGAGGCAGAGGUUGUGGCAAGCCAAGAUCGUGCCACUGCACUCCAGCCUGGGCAACAAGAGCAAAACUCCAUCUCGAAAAAUGAAAAAUAUUAAAAAAAAAAUAAA